rnacentral:lncRNA from 1 species
UUUCCUUUUAUUUAGCAACACCAGAUCAAGACAGCAGUAUGAACAAAUACUAAAUCAAUCGCUGCUAGUCAACCUGAAAGUCAGGGUGGAUCCCUUCCUAUCUCAGCUCUCGCAGCCUCUGAAAUUAAAUGGAAGAAAACUUAGAUUUUUUUUUCCCCCCAUAAGCACAACUGGAAGGUGUCCAGUAACCACCAAUAUUCUCCUGUUUGUAUUGAAGGUCUUUGCCCUCACCAUGUCAAGGAGCGUUAAUGAUGUGUUCCCUCUCCGCUGCAUUCCCCACCUGUCAUCU